AGUAAAAGACGACGAUAUUUAUGAGAAGGAAUUUCAGAGAGACAUAGCAGGCUAGGAUUACGCUGGUGAAGAAAGCACUCAAAGCCAAUCUCAGAGAAUAAUAACAGCGUCCAGUGUUAAAGCAAACAAGAAUAUUAGGAUGAGUUUUACCUGGCUUAUGGGCGUGCCAUCCACGGCUAUCCAUUCUACGUUAGGCGAGGGACUGCCGUGGCCGGCGCAGUCGAUCCUUCCGCCUGUGGCUGCCCCAAAUUCCACGUGAUGAGCGGGUUCGAUGAUGAACACGGGGCCCUGCAAGUCGGAACCGCUGCUUCCCGAUCCACUCCAUCCUAUAACUGCAAAUAAAAAUACAACUAUACCUUGGAAUGUAAUGGUCAAAGAAUGGCUAUAGGAGCUGAACUAAUUAGGGAAAGGAAGUAAAAUCCUCCUACUCUGGGUACCAGCCCACCAAGGGAUAGAAGGCAAUGAAAAAGCAAACGAUCUAGCUAGAAAAGGAGCGAAAACUCUACUAACUGGACCAGAACCGUUCUGCUUCCCAAGAAGAAAUCAAAUUAAACUCAACAGACCUGGAACAACUCAAUAACCUGGAAGACUUCAUGCGAGUAACCUGGAAUGGGAAUCAUCCAGCGGUCUAAGGUACUAAAACAAAUUUCUCAGGAUACAACCGAGAAAAAUCAAAGAUUUUUCUUGAUUAGUAAAGUACCAGUCUACUGGAUCUGUGUGAUCACAAUAUUGGAGUAUGAUCAAUUUACUACAAUACACAAUUAAAUAAACAGUAAUAUAUUUUAUAGAUCGCUACCUAUAUACAAGUGACAGAGUCCACGUGGACUUGACGAGUAUGUCACCGCAAGACAGACUCCGCCCACUCAUUACAUUGGCUAAUAAUAAAUUACAACAAUUAUUAGGUAA